GACGAACGCUGGCGGCGUGCCUAAUACAUGCAAGUCGAACGGUCUUUUCUAUGGAAGCUUGCUUCCACUGAGAAGAUAGUGGCGAACGGGUGAGUAACACGUGGGUAACCUGCCCUUAAGAGGGGGAUAACAUCCGGAAACGGGUGCUAAUACCGCAUAGUUUUCUUGAUCGCAUGAUCGGGAAAGGAAAGACGGCCUUUGUGCUGUCGCUUAUGGAUGGACCAGCGGCGUAUUAGUUAGUUGGUGAGGUAACGGCUCACCAAGACGAUGAUACGUAGCCGACCUGAGAGGGUGAUCGGCCACAUUGGGACUGAGACACGGCCCAAACUCCUACGGGAGGCAGCAGUAGGGAAUCUUCCGCAAUGGACGAAAGUCUGACGGAGCAACGCCGCGUGAGUGAAGAAGGUUUUCGGAUCGUAAAACUCUGUUGUCAGAGAAGAACAAGUUGGAGAGUAACUGCUCCAGCCUUGACGGUAUCUGACCAGAAAGCCACGGCUAACUACGUGCCAGCCGCCGCAGUAAGAC
rnacentral:rRNA from 1 species